rnacentral:RNase_P_RNA from 1 species
UUGUAACGGUUGUUCCAUCGCCGGGUAUUUAUAUCAGGAGGAAAGUCCGGGCAACACAGAGCGUCUUGCUUCCUAACGGGAAGGGCACAUCUUUGAUGUGUACGGAAAGUGCCACAGAAAACAAACUACCCGGAUUGCUUGCGGUUCGGGAAAAGGUGAAAACGUGAGGUAAGAGCUCACGGCUUUGUAUGGCAACAUGCAUCGCGGUAAACCCCAGGAGUUGAAAGACCAAAUAUGCUGGCGACUGAAGGCUGCUCGUCUUAGUUUUGCUUCGCAAAUGCGCCAGCGGGUAGGUCGUUUGAUCAUGUCAGCGAUGACAUGGCUAGAUAAAUGAUGGAAGCCCUCUUUGGGUGACAGAACCCGGCUUACAGACCUUAUAAAAGA